rnacentral:rRNA from 1 species
CAUUGAAACACCGGUUCCCGCAUGAUCACCGACGUUAAGCAACGUCGAGCCUAGUCAGUACCUAGAUGGGUGACCUUUUGAGAAUACCAGGUGUUGUAAG